rnacentral:lncRNA from 1 species
UAAAAUACUCAGUAACCCCUUGCAAAAGCAGAAUUCUAUUGCCCAUGAGAAUGGUGAAAAGGAGGCCCCGCAUCUUAAGCCAGCAGGCAAGUCAGCAACUUUUAAAUUAACUGGUCACCACCCUACAGAGGGUAACAUGGCUUUCUUAAAGUGUGAUCGUAAUAAUCAGCUUGGCCCUGAGAAUUUUCCCCUGAGCCAUGGAUUCUGGGAUGAGAACAGAACACAGACAGGGUUACCUGAUUCUGCUGCUUUACUGGCAAAGUAUCCUGCUGCAUUUAGCAAUUAUCCUGUGCCAUCAUCCAAAAUGCCACAGCAGACAUUGCAAUCUGUUGUCAAGAGUAACGAGUGUAAUCAGAGUGG